UUACGGUCAAAUCACGAUAAACACACCGGUUCUCGUUCGAUCGCCGAAGCUAAGCAUCGUAGAGCUAGUUUAGUACUUAGAGGGGGACCUUUUGGGAAGACUUGGUGCUGUA